rnacentral:rRNA from 1 species
UACGGGGGGAGCAAGCGUUGUUCGGAUUUACUGGGCGUAAAGGGCGCGUAGGCGGCCACCGCAAGUCAAUUGUGAAAUCUCCGGGCUUAACUCGGAAAGGUCAACUGAUACUGCGGGGCUAGAGUGCGGAAGGGGCAACUGGAAUUCUUGGUGUAGCGGUGAAAUGCGUAGAUAUCAAGAGGAACACCUGCGGCGAAGGCGGGUUGCUGGGCUGACACUGACGCUGAGGCGCGAAAGCUAGGGGAGCGAACGGG